rnacentral:rRNA from 1 species
UACCAGCACCCCGAGUGGUCGGGACGUUUUAUUGGGCCUAAAGCAUCCGUAGCCGGUUCUACAAGUCUUCCGUUAAAUCCACCUGCUUAACAGAUGGGCUGCGGAAGAUACUAUGGAGCUAGGAGGCGGGAGAGGCAAGCGGUACUCGAUGGGUAGGGGUAAAAUCCGUUGAUCCAUUGAAGACCACCAGUGGCGAAGGCGGCUUGCCAGAACGCGCUCGGACGG